UUGCGAUGAUGAAAUUUGUGUGCAGUGAUGAGGGUCGAUCACAACCGUCCGAUCUUUCCGACGAAAUCCAUCAGUGCAUCUGAGCUU